GCUGCCGGGCUUCCCUUUGUCAUCCUUUGCCUCGGGCUCUGAGCGGGGCAGGGACAGCAAAGGGGUGCUCGGCUGUCC
ncrna:Eptesicus fuscus (big brown bat) microRNA efu-mir-211 precursor